GAAAAUGAAACUUGUCUCUCAAGUCCUACAUAUAUUGAUUGUUAUUGAUGCCUGAAUUGCUUGCCAACUCUCUAUGUUUCUUUAGAUCUAACACAAAUUGCAUAAUCUUCAUUACUCUUCUACCUGAGUUGCUUUCAUUACUCUUCUACCUGAGUGAGUUGCUUCCUGUUUAGUUCACUAAUCACAUAUCUAGGCUUACAUUCUUGUAUGCGAAACUGUUAUGGCAAUGAACCUGAGUGUCUAAUGGUAGGUUUAUGAUUAUUUAGUUGAAUUGGUCGUUGGUAGGAGUCCUUCUUCCCUUAAUCAGGAUUUUGAAUGUGGUUUCUAGGUUAGUUUCUGUAGUUGUUUUGAUGCCUUUGUAAUGUAAGUCUGUAAGGCAACUAAGAAAUUAUUCUCACCCCUAGAGAAUUCAGUUUUGAAAAAUGUUAGUCAUGUGCAUCUUUUUAUAUCUGUGUUGAUGUGAUUUAAUUUGAAAUGCUGUGUUUUAAAUUGAAAAAAACAUGAAAUGUUAUUUCUAUCUCCAUAAAUUGCCCAUCCGCUGAUUGGACAAGAUAGUUCAAAAUGAUGCAAAUCGUUGAGUUAGAUUUUGGUAUUCCAGAUUUAUGAACUUCCUGCCUGAGAGUCCCUUUAAUCUGAUACACAAUCAUUAAAUAUGUGCUCUGAAAACUUCAUCUUGUUAAGCUGUUAAAUGAUGAUAUUGAUGAAAUAUCCAGACAACCCGACCUGUGGAAACAUAUGAAACACGAUACCCUAAAUGGUAAAUUCCUUUUGUUAGGUCCUCUGCAAAAUCAUGUACAGAGUUUACCUGAUUGGAGAAGAUAGUUCAAAAUGAUGCAAAUAUUUGGUAUUUCAGAUUUAUGAACCUCCUGCCAGAGAGUCAUUUUAAUCUGAUACAAACAACGGUUACCUGAUUGAAUAAUCUUCUCCUUUGUCUCGCUAUGUGUUUGCCAUGAGGGCAGAGCUAUCUCCUUCCCUCACAUGAUUGCUAGUUGAUGUGUUUCCAUAAGGUUGUGUCGUUUGGUUUUGGUUUCUAUUUCAAACUGAACAUAAUAUUAGUAUCAUGGUUGUGCACCAAAUUCUGAAAGUUGCUGGUCCCUCCAAGCCCAUGCUUCUUGCAUAAGGCUGAUAUGGUAAGCACCCCCAAUACCUAUGCUUCUUGCAUAAGGUUGAUAUGGUAAGCACCCCCAAUCAAUCAGACUCUUCCCUCCUUCAACAGUUGGGUUAGUGCUCUGAUGUGAUGGAAAGCAAGAUUUCAACAAUCGAGUCCCACAAUGUCCAUGAUUUUCCUGAAAAGAUUCCGACCCAAAAGUAGCAAACUGACUAAUGAGCAAUCUUGUGACAAGGUUAGAAUGAGCAAAUCUUGUGACAAGGUUAGAAAUUAAAUGAAGGUGGUGAGCCUGGUAAUUUGUGUGGGGAUCUUGCUGUAUAGCUUGUUUUCUGAAAUGGAAUCCCACAAAGUCCAUGAUUUCCUGAAAAUAUUCCUGUCCGAAAGUAGCAAACUGAUUUCCUUUUGGCAUCACUUUGAUGAGCAGAUUUUGUGACAUGUUUCCUCCUGUUAGAGAGUCCCUUUAAUCUGAUACAAAGGUUACCUGAUAGAAUAAUCUUCUCCUUUUGUCUCACUAUGUGUUUGCUUGUGAACUGCCUCCUUCCCUCGCAUGUUUUCUAUAGUUGAUGUAUUUUGGCCCUCUAAUGACCCAUUUGGGGUUUUGCUUACUAUUAUUUCAAACUCAACAUGGUUGUGCACCAAAUUUCGAAAGCUGUUGGUCCCUCUAAGCAUAUGCUUCUUACAUAAGGCUGAUAUGGUUAAGGGUAAGUAUAUGUAUGCUUAUUAUUUCUCUCACCAGCUAAUUUCUAUAUGACGUUUCUGGUAUAAUGUUUUCUUUCCUAUGAUGGUAUGCAUCUUUCGAAACUUUGAACGAGUUUGUGCUAGAGCUGUUGAUAUGGCUGCUUCCAAGGUCGAGACCUGACAACAUUAGCUUCAGGUGUUUAUUAUGAUUACAAGCAACAGUGUUUAUUAUGAUUCCAAGAUGAAACUUGAGGCGUUGGAUAUGAAUGGAGAUUUCGGUUUUGAGUGAUAGGAGCAGUGAUGUGUCCUUGUCCAGGCAUCGGAUUUGGGUUGGAAAAGAAAAACAGCAGAGAUGUGAUAGUCAUGUAAUAUCAACAACCACAAGGCUUACAGAAGUUGACAGUUCCCUCAAAGAAACGAGCAACAGAUAUUGACUAUCAUAAAAGUUUUGCAUUUCAUUGGUUGGUUAAGUUGGGUCUACAGAUGUGAGAUGCUACAGAAGAUUGGUUGGAGAAAUUGUAGUUGUGAGUAGACGAAUUCUCUCUGGUUACGUUGAGCUCUGUUUCAGUCUGAGUUUUGAUUUUUGCUGGUAGGAAGGAGUGUAGUAGAAAGAAGAGUUUUAGACCAGUUGUGGGACUGACAUGUGCUGCUGGUUCUCAUGUAAUAAAUAAUGAAGCAGGUGAAGGCUGCUGCUGCUAUCAAACAAGAGAAGAAAGUCAAGGUUCUGGCUGCUGCUGGGGGUAAUAUAUGCUAGUAAAGAAUAUUUGAGAUGGUUUACUACACAGUUAGUUAUAUUUACAAAGAUUAUGAAGUAGUUUUAUUCUGGUUAAUGCCAUGUUGGAAAAGUUCUCACUAUAUUUCUAUGAUUCUCAUUUAUCA
rnacentral:lncRNA from 1 species